GAGAGGAAGGUCCCCCACACUGGUACUGAGAUACGGACCAGACUCCUACGGGAGGCAGCAGUGAGGAAUAUUGGUCAAUGGGCGAGAGCCUGAACCAGCCAAGUAGCGA
rnacentral:rRNA from 1 species